CUGACAAAAUCAUUAAUGUCCUGAAGUGUUUUAUAUAGAUCAAAUUUUUGAUCAGGCCCAAAAUUAAGGCCCUUUUCAAGUGCUUGAAUCUGUUGAUAAGUAAGGAUAUUCGCUGAGAUGUUAAUGACUGAGAGAGAGCAUACUCCACGGCACUAAUGCUGAUGACAUGUUGAUGUACAGGAUAUGUCUUCCCAACCUAACACAAGAGAGCAGUAACCGACAGGGACCUAACGAUGGGCAGGAAAAAAAUCAUAGCAAGGAAUAUUGUAUGUUCAUAUAUUGGAUCAGAUCAUUAAUUGGAACAGGGGAAAAAUAGCUCAAUGUAUAGGUUUAUUUUUACUCAAAGGGUCAAUGACCAGAAAAAAAACGUUAUAAAGGUUUUUUUUU